rnacentral:rRNA from 1 species
UACGUAGGGUGCAAGCGUUAAUCGGAAUUACUGGGCGUAAAGCGUGCGCAGGCGGUUUUGUAAGUCUGUCGUGAAAUCCCCGGGCUCAACCUGGGAACUGCAUUGGUGACUGCAUUGCUGGAGUAUGGCAGAGGGGGGUGGAAUUCCACGUGUAGCAGUGAAAUGCGUAGAGAUGGUGGAGGAACACCGAUGGCGAAGGCAGCCCCCUGGGCCAAUGACUGACGCUCGAUGCACGAAAGCGUGGGGAGCAAACAGG